rnacentral:rRNA from 1 species
GAUGAACGCUAGCGGCAGGCCUAAUACAUGCAAGACGAACGGUAAGUUGAGUAGCAAUACUUAGCCAAGAGUGUCGUACGGGUGCGUAACACGUAUGCAACCUACCCUAUACAGGAGGAUAGCCUAGGGAAACCUGGAUUAACCCUUCAUAGUAUUAUUGGAUGGCAUCAUUUGAUAAUUAAAACUGAGGUGGUAUAGGAUGGGCAUGCGUCUGAUUAGUUAGUUGGCGGGGGUAAUGGCCCACCAAGACGAUGAUCAGUAGGGGUUCUGAGAGGAAGAUCCCCCCACACUGGCACUGAGAUACGGGCCAGACUCCUACGGGAGGCAGCAGUAGGGAAUAUUGGUCAAUGGAUGCAAGUCUGAACCAGCCAUGCCGCGUGCAGGAAGAAGGCCUCUGGGUUGU